rfam:Triticum aestivum genome assembly, contig: Triticum_aestivum_CS42_TGACv1_scaffold_393090_5AS
AAAGUACUCCCUCCGUCCCAAAAUUCUUGUCUUAGAUUUGUCGAGAUACGGAUGUAUCAAGUCACAUUUUAGUAUUAGAUACAUCCGUAUCUAGACAGAUCUAAGACAAGAAAUUUGGGACAGAGGGAUUAGUUG